GGCGACGAUCUGUAGCGGGUCUGAGAGGAUGAUACGCCACACUGGAACUGAGACACGGUCCAGACUCCUACGGGAGGCAGCAGUGGGGAAUUUUGGACAAUGGGGGCAACCCUGAUCCAGCCAUGCCGCGUGAGUGAAGAAGGCCUUCGGGUUGUAAAGCUCUUUCGGCGGGGAAGAAAUCGCAUGGGCCAAUACCCUGUGUGGAUGACGGUACCGGAAUAAGAAGCACCGGCUAACUACGUGCCAGCAGCCGCGGUAAUACGUAGGGUGCGAGCGUUAAUCGGAAUUACUGGGCGUAAAGCGUGCGCAGGCGGUUUUGUAAGACAGGCGUGAAAUCCCCGGGCUUAACCUGGGAACUGCGUUUGUGACUGCAAGGCUAGAGUACGGCAGAGGGGGGUGGAAUUCCACGUGUAGCAGUGAAAUGCGUAGAGAUGUGGAGGAACACCAAUGGCGAAGGCAGCCCCCUGGGUCGAUACUGACGCUCAUGCACGAAAGCGUGGGUAGCAAACAGGAUUAGAUACCCUGGUAGUCCACGCCCUAAACUAUGUCAACUAGGUGUUGGGUGGGUAAAACCAUUUAGUACCGUAGCUAACGCGUGAAGUUGACCGCCUGGGGAGUACGGCCGCAAGGUUAAAACUCAAAGGAAUUGACGGGGACCCGCACAAGCGGUGGAUGAUGUGGAUUAAUUCGAUGCAACGCGAAAAACCUUACCUACCCUUGACAUGCCAGGAACUUGCCAGAGAUGGCUUGGUGCCCGAAAGGGAGCCUGGACACAGGUGCUGCAUGGCUGUCGUCAGCUCGUGUCGUGAGAUGUUGGGUUAAGUCCCGCAACGAGCGCAACCCUUGUCGUUAAUUGCCAUCAUUUAGUUGGGCACUUUAACGAGACUGCCGGUGACAAACCGGAGGAAGGUGGGGAUGACGUCAAGUCCUCAUGGCCCUUAUGGGUAGGGCUUCACACGUCAUACAAUGGUCGGUACAAAGGGUUGCCAAGCCGCGAGGCGGAGCCAAUCCCAGAAAGCCGAUCGUAGUCCGGAUUGCAGGCUGCAACUCGCCUGCAUGAAGUCGGAAUCGCUAGUAAUCGUGGAUCAGCAUGUCACGGUGAAUACGUUCCCGGGUCUUGUACACACCGCCCGUCACACCAUGGGAGCGGGUUCCGCCAGAAGUAGGUAGCCUAACCGCAAGGGGGGCGCUUACCACGGCGGGGUUCGUGACUGGGGUGAAGUCGUAACAAGGUA
rnacentral:rRNA from 1 species